rnacentral:rRNA from 1 species
AUGCACGCUGGCGGCGUGCCUAAUACAUGCAAGUCGAGCGAACGGACGAGAAGCUUGCUUCUCUGAUGUUAGCGGCGGACGGGUGAGUAACACGUGGAUCACCUACCUAUAAGACUGGGAUAACUUCGGGAAACCGUAGCUAAUACCGGAUAAUAUUUUGAACCGCAUGGUUCAAAAGUGAAAGACGGUCUUGCUGUCACUUAUAGAUGGAUCCGCGCUGCAUUAGCUAGUUGGUAAGGUAACGGCUUACCAAGGCAACGAUGCAUAGCCGACCUGAGAGGGUGAUCGGCCACACUGGAGCUGAGACACGGUCCAGACUCCUACGGGAGGCAGCAGUAGGGAAUCUUCCGCAAUGGGCGAAAGCCUGACGGAGCAACGCCGCGUGAGUGAUGAAGGUCUUCGGAUCGUAAAACUCUGUUAUUAGGGAAGAACAUAUGUGUAAGUAACUGUGCACAUCUUGACGGUACCUAAUCAGAAAGCCACGGCUAACUACGUG